GAUGAACGCUAGCGGCAGGCUUAAUACAUGCAAGUCGAGGGGCAGCAUGAAUGUAGCAAUACAUUUGAUGGCGACCGGCAAACGGGUGCGGAACACGUACACAAACUUCCUAUAAGUGGGGAAUAGCCCAGAGAAAUUUGGAUUAAUACCCCGUAACAUAAUGAUGUGGCAUCACAUUAUUAUUAUAGCUACGGCGCUUAUUGAUGGGUGUGCGGCUGAUUAGAUAGUUGGCGGGGUAACGGCCCACCAAGUCUACGAUCAGUAGCUGAUGUGAGCGCAUGAUGAGCCACACGGGCACCGAGAGACGUGCACGACACCUACGAGAGGCAGCAGUAAGGAGUAUUGGUCAAUGAACGCAAUUCUGAACCAGCCAAGCCGCGUGAAGGAUUAAGGUCCUCUGGAUUGUAAACUUCUUAUAUCUGGGACGAAAAAAGGCUAUUCUUAGUCACUUGACGGUACCAGAUGAAUAAGCACCGGCUAACUCCGUGCCAGCCGCCGCCGUAAAAC
rnacentral:rRNA from 1 species